rnacentral:lncRNA from 1 species
GUUGCUGUGAGGUACAGGCCAUACAGAAAAAACAAGUUUGAGUUUUUUGUUCUUAUUUGCCUAUUUUCAGAUUAAUAGAUUAGUUCCCUAGCAUCCUGCAAAGGUGACCAAUUAUUUUUGUGUCAUUAUAAAUCACGCAGAUUAAUCUAUCGUAUAUUCCAAUCCAAUCGCAGUUAUAUUCUUUCUGAUUCUCAAAUUGUUCCAUCUUUGGCCAGUGGGAGUCCUUCACAUUGGCUCCUGAAUUUUUACAUAAUCCCCAAAGUCUUUGAUGGUUUCCUUGCUCUCUGGUAUGACAAGAUGUUCCAAGCUCAUAUGAUACAUUAUUUUCUCCCAAACAUGGAACUGACCAUUUCUCCACAAACCCUGGGUUAUUUUUCUCUUUUUCUUCUAGAAAAGUCUAUGUUUUUAGCUCUCCCCAUCUCCUAUGUCUCCUUAUUCCACCAGAGAACCCUGACUAAGGAACAAAGAAGUGCUACAAAGAGGAGACAUCAAGUACCAAUCAGUAGGCAUUUGGUGAUGACAGGCAGGGUUCAGUUGCCCGGGUCAAGGCUGUGUGAUUCAGAGACAUUCCUGCUCCCACACACAGGCCCAACUGCUUGAGCUGUUAUCCAACACCAGCUUCCUAAAAAAGCCUGUGAAAAUGCCCACAACUCUUAAGCCCUAAGCUGAAGAUUGACUCAGCGGUUUUUCUAGGUCCUCUCUGUGAGAAGGGACAGCACAGGACCCAGAGAAAAGCAGAAAUCCCUGCGCCUAACCCAGCGAUUUACUGUAACCAACCUGGAACCAUUAAAGCAAAACACUGACAGAAGUCAGGGCUCCGUUCUUCCAACGUCUCACCCUGCUCUGGACCUUCAGCAUGUUUACUGUGCAGCCAUCUGUGAACAUCUUUGUGAAACUAGUUAAAGCCUUUUGAGACCCUAAACUUCUAGUUACACUAAUUUCCCCCCACAUGAAUUAGGACUUGAGUAAACAAAAGGCAGACUUGAGGACGGAGAGCGACUGUGCCGUGUUAAAUGGUGCAUUUCUCCGGGCCUGCCCGUGGAUUGUUGCGUUCCCAUCCCCGGGCGCCAGAGACCGUAUAAUGGGCUCUUUAUGUGGUGCUUGGUUAGAAAAACGUAUUGACAAAGAAUCACAGACAAAUCAUAGCCGUGACCUUUAGCGUUCAAACGCGAUUUUCCUUGGGAGUGAUUUAAUUGCCCAUGCAGCUCGCUGGCUGCACACAGGAGCAGCCUUUCUGCCUUUCCAAAGGCCGCGGCCGGGCCAGGCUGGUUUGCCUUUCCUGUGAAUGUUUGGCCCAGGACUGCUCCUAUAACGAGGCUCCGUUGUGCCAUACAAGGAUAAACAGCGCAUGGCAUCCAGCUGGACUCAGUGAGCUUGAAAGAUUGCUUCCCGAGCACCUGCUGCCCAAGCCGACCUUGGAUCUGACAGCGCCCCUGGCCUCAGACUCGGCGUUCAGAUGACUGGCACAGAUGCCCGUGCAGGCCUGUGGCCCGCAGGCGUAAGAGCGGGGGCCAGGGGCUACUGAGUGAGGUAAAAUAUGUUUGUCCUUGCCCUUCCCAAUCCUUUAGUGUACUUCUUGCCAUCCUUUAGCCAGAGCUCUGCUUGAUCCCUUCACUGCUCUGAGCUUGAGGAAAACGGAAGGCAGACACAAAAGGCCACCUAUGGUGUGACUCCAUUUAUAUGCGGUAUCCAGAAUAGGCAGAUCCAGAGUGAUAGAAAGCAGGUUCUUGGUUGCCAGGGACUGUAAGAAAGAGAGAACGGGGAGUGACUGGUUUAAGGGUACAGGGUUUUCGUUUGGGGUGAUUAAAAAAUUCUGGAACUUGAUAGAGGUGAUGAUUGCACAUCAUCGUGAAGGUACUAAAUGCCACUGAACUGUGCUUUAAAAUGGCUAGAAUGCACAUUUCGUGUUAUGCAUAUUUUACCACAGUUUUUUUAAGUGUGACUGAAGGGUUGUACUGGAGGGAGGAAAGGAUGGAUGUACUUACUCCCAAGGCCCCAGGAGACAAAACCAAGACCAAUAAGAGGGAGUCUCUUAGAGGCAGCUUUCAGCUCAUUGCGUACAUAGAGGGGAAAGGACAACCUAGAACAGGCCUACUGUGAGCCAGGCACCCUCAGCCCUCACUUCCUUGAAGUCCACAGCCCUGGGAGGAGGUUAUUGUCCUUAUUUUAUGGCUAAGGAAAGGAUGACUCCCAGAAGCUAGAACUACUUUCCCAAGGACACAGAGCUAAUAAGAGGUGGAAGUUAGCUUUGAACCCAGGUUUUUCUGCUCCGGAAUCUGUACCCUUUUUAAUUCACAGUGCUCCUGCAACUUUUCUACCAAAGUACCCCUACUGCCCCUUAGGAAGCUUGAAACCAUGCAGCAGCGUGAAUGGGGUGAAGCCCAAGGAACUGCCGAGCAUCAGCCUCAUGUUUUUGCUUAUGAAUUCGUGCAAAAUCACAUGCUUGCUCUAUUAUCUUAUGUGACUUUUUUCUUAAAUAUUAAAAUAAGUUUUUGUCCAAAUCUUCUAGGAAAGUAUCACUUGGGGAAGAUGGUGUUUACCCUACAGCCUCCCAGCCCACUUCACAUGCCACAGGGGUCUGCUUUCCAUCUCUCUGUAAGCAGCUGAAGUUACAGCAUCCCUACAGGAAGCAAAAUCCAACCGUCAUCUAGGGGGAGAGAGGAAGGACACACAGCAACUCAUUAACAUAUCAACUGGAAUUUGUUCCAGUUUGAGAAGCUGGCACUAAACUGGCUGCUUUCCAAAAGGGGAAGGGGAGGGAGGGGGAGAGGCGGGGAGGGAGGGGGAGAGGCGGGGAGGGAGGGAGGGAGGGGUCCUUUGCACUGGAGUGUUCAUACCCUGGAAGGGAUGUUACAAGAAUUCGUACACGGGAGGAGAUGAGGUUGAACCUCAGUGAUUUAACUCUAUGUAGUCACAGACCCAUUCUGAGAAUCUAGUGAAACCUAUUAACCUUCCUUACCAAAAUUGCCCAGACCUAUAAAGUUUGCUAUUAUCUUAGGGGGUUAUAAUCCCCCUAAAGUCUAGAUCCUGAAUUAAGCAUCCCUGCACUACAUGGUCUUAGGCAGAAAAUGAAACAAACUUGAAGAUUCCUUCUAACCCUAAGAGUCUGAUCUUGUCCUGGUCUGUGUUUCACUCAAUAAUCAGUCAAAUAAUCACUCAAAAAUGUACCCAGUUUGUGGCCCAUUUCCUCACCACUUUGAGUGACUCAAUUUAUCAGCAAAUGUAAUAAACAAAUUCCAGUUGAUAUGUUAAUGAGUUGC